GACGUAGGGCGCGAGCGUUGUCCGGAAUUAUUGGGCGUAAAGAGCUCGUAGGCGGCUUGUUGCGUCGUCCGUGAAAUCCCGUGGCUCAACUGCGGGCUUGCGGACGAUACGGGCAGGCUAGAGUUCGGUAGGGGAGACUGGAAUUCCUGGUGUAGCGGUGAAAUGCGCAGAUAUCAGGAGGAACACCGGUGGCGAAGGCGGGUCUCUGGGCCGAUACUGACGCUGAGGAGCGAAAGCGUGGGGAGCGAACAGG
rnacentral:rRNA from 1 species